GGCACUGUAGCUCAGUUGGUAGAGCACAUGCUUAACAUUGGUCUUUCCAACUUCCAAUCGCAUGUGGUCGUCGGUUCGAGCCCGGCCAGAGUCA
rnacentral:tRNA from 1 species